UACAGAGGUGGCAAGCGUUGUUCGGAAUUACUGGGCGUAAAGGGCGCGUAGGCGGUCUUGUCAGUCCCUUGUGAAAUCCCCCGGCUCAACUGGGGAACUGCACGGGAAACAGCAGGGCUUGAGUUCGGGAGAGGGAAGCGGAAUUCCGGGUGUAGCGGUGAAAUGCGUAGAUAUCCGGAGGAACACCGAUGGCGAAGGCAGGUCUCUGGGCUGACACUGGACGCUCAUGCCACGAAAGCGUGGGGAGCAAACAGG
rnacentral:rRNA from 1 species